rnacentral:misc_RNA from 1 species
AACGCACAUUGCGCCUGCUGGCAAUCCGGCAGGCAUGCCUGUUCGAGCGUCAUUUCCACCCUCAGACUCUGUCUGGUGUUGGGGACCUACCUUUCGGGGUAGUCUCUGAAAAGCAGCGGCGGAACGUCCUGUUCUCGAGCGUAGUAUCUUCUUCGCUAGAGGUGGGGGCGGCUCUGGCCACAUGGAAUCUAUUCUGGCUUCGGCCAUUGUGAACGACCUCGGACAGGUAGGAAUACCCGCUGAACUUAA